rnacentral:rRNA from 1 species
ACGAACGCUGGCGGCGUGCUUAACACAUGCAAGUCGGACGGAAAGGCCCUGCUUUUGUGGGGUGCUCGAGUGGCGAACGGGUGAGUAACACGUGAGUAACCUGCCCUUGACUUUGGGAUAACUUCAGGAAACUGGGGCUAAUACCGGAUAGGAGUUCCUGCUGCAGGGUGGGGGUUGGAAAGUUUCGGCGGUUGGGGAUGGACUCGCGGCUUAUCAGCUUGUUGGUGGGGUAGUGGCUUACCAAGGCUUUGACGGGUAGCCGGCCUGAGAGGGUGACCGGCCACAUUGGGACUGAGAUACGGCCCAGACUCCUACGGGAGGCAGCAGUGGGGAAUAUUGCACAAUGGGCGGAAGCCUGAUGCAGCAACGCCGCGUGCGGGAUGACGGCCUUCGGGUUGUAAACCGCUUUCGCCUGUGACGAAGCGUGAGUGACGGUAAUGGGUAAAGAAGCACCGGCUAACUACGUG